rnacentral:rRNA from 1 species
UGUCGUCAGCUCGUGUCGUGAGAUGUUGGGUUAAGUCCCGCAACGAGCGCAACCCUUGCCUUUAGUUGCCAGCAUUAAGUUGGGCACUCUAGAGGGACUGCCGAGGAUAACUCGGAGGAAGGUGGGGAUGACGUCAAAUCAUCAUGCCCCUUAUGCUUAGGGCUACACACGUGCUACAAUGGGUGGUACAGAGGGUUGCCAAGCCGUGAGGUGGAGCUAAUCCCUUAAAGCCAUUCUCAGUUCGGAUUGUAGGCUGAAACUCGCCUACAUGAAGCUGGAGUUACUAGUAAUCGCAGAUCAGAAUGCUGCGGUGAAUGCGUUCCCGGGUCUUGUACACACCGCCCGUCACACCAUGGGAGUUGGGGGCGCCCGAAGCCGGUUAGCUAACCUUUUAGGAAGCGACCGUCGAAGGUGAAACCAAUGACUGGGGUGAAGUCGUAACAAGGUAGCCGUAUCGGAAGGUGCGGCUGGAUCACCUCCUUUCUAAGGA